rnacentral:rRNA from 1 species
UACGGAGGGUGCAAGCGUUGUUCGGAAUCACUGGGCGUAAAGGGCGUGUAGGCGGUCCGCUAAGUCUGAUGUGAAAGCCCGGGGCUCACCCCCGGAAGGGCAUUGGAAACUGGCGGACUCGAGUCUCGGAGAGGAAGGUGGAAUUCCUGGUGUAGCGGCGAAAUGCGUAGAUAUCAGGAGGAAUACCGGUGGCGAAGGCGGCCUUCUGGACGAUGACUGACGCUGAGACGCGAAAGCGUGGGGAGCAAACAGG